AUUGAACGCUGGCGGCAGGCCUAACACAUGCAAGUCGAGCGGUAGAGAGAAGCUUGCUUCUCUUGAGAGCGGCGGACGGGUGAGUAAUGCCUAGGAAUCUGCCUGGUAGUGGGGGAUAACGUUCGGAAACGAACGCUAAUACCGCAUACGUCCUACGGGAGAAAGCAGGGGACCUUCGGGCCUUGCGCUAUCAGAUGAGC
rnacentral:rRNA from 1 species